AAGCUCUGGUAAACAUGUUGC
rnacentral:siRNA from 1 species